GUCUAUGGCCAUAACACCCCGAACUCGUCUGAUCUCGGAAGCUAAGCAGUGGUGGGCCUGGUUAGCACUUGCAUGGGAGACCACCUGGGAAUACGGGGUGCUGUAGGCU
rnacentral:rRNA from 1 species